rnacentral:rRNA from 1 species
CCUACGGGGGGCUGCAGUGGGGAAUAUUGGACAAUGGGGGCAACCCUGAUCCAGCCAUGCCGCGUGUGUGAAGAAGGCCCUCGGGUUGUAAAGCACUUUCAGUGAGGAAGAACGCCUGGUGGUUAAUACCCAUCAGGAAAGACAUCACUCACAGAAGAAGCACCGGCUAACUCCGUGCCAGCAGCCGCGGUAAUACGGAGGGUGCGAGCGUUAAUCGGAAUUACUGGGCGUAAAGCGCGCGUAGGUGGCUUGAUAAGCCGGUUGUGAAAGCCCCGGGCUCAACCUGGGAACGGCAUCCGGAACUGUCAAGCUAGAGUGUAGGAGAGGAAGGUAGAAUUCCCGGUGUAGCGGUGAAAUGCGUAGAGAUCGGGAGGAACACCAGUGGCGAAGGCGGCCUUCUGGACUGACACUGACACUGAGGUGCGAAAGCGUGGGUAGCAAACAGGAUUAGAUACCCGUGUAGUC